rnacentral:ncRNA from 1 species
AUGAUACUGCCACCGGGUAGAAUAACGGUGCGAAAGCACCCGCAAACACAUCAUUAGGUCUUUGAAGAUGUGUUUACGGGUGCUUUUUUUGU